AUGGACGUGAAAAUGGUCAUUAAGAGGAUUAUCACGGCUUCAUUUGCAUCAUGUGAGCGCACUUGGACACAGGACGGGGAGGGGAUCAACAGAUCUGCUGUGGGGAUCUCCUGUGGGGAUCUGCUGUGGGGAUCUGCUGUGAGGAUCUGCUGUGGGGCCCCGACCGCAGCAGAGGAUGGAGCCGACGUGGAAGAACUUUCACUUCAAGAUGUCAAUGUCCCUGGUUCCGUGACGAGCGCUCUCUCACCACGACGUAGCUCAACAAGUGUUAAACAACACGGGCACGAAUCGGAUGGAUCUGAGUAGUGACUGAUGUACAAUCUGCUCCUCGUCCUCGGUGUCUGCGGCAGAAACGUGCCAGGCCAGUCAGAAGGUGAAAGGAGCCUUUCAGAUGAUCUUCAGCAGCCUUUUUGGUUAAUUUAGAGGAACUCUCUGAAGAUGUUUACAGCCUUAAACGUGUCUAUCGGGAUGCAUGACCUCUGACAUUUUCUUUCCUUUAGAUUCAAAGACAUAAAAUACCGAAAAUUCGUCUCCUGUUCUAACUCCAUCAACGGCUUUUCACAUUCUCUGAUGCAACCUGACAAAAAAACCCAACAAAAUUCCCAUUUUACAGGAGGUCAUGUGCUGGACCUUUGAGCAGUUUCCAAGCAACCACUUACAACUCCAGGAAGUAACAGACCCUUGGCAAGAACCAGCCUGACACCUCACCCAAAGCACCACAUCUUUAUCUCUCACCAGCAGCACCAUUUCACAUUUCUGUCAUAGAAUUCCUCUCAUGCAACUUGUCUAUUAUGUGAUUACGUUGUUCUAAACAUGCUGUCUAUUACAAUAAUAUUCAUUCUUAAAAAUACAGAGAUCAUAUUACCUCAUUGACAGCAGCAUUCCUUGUUACUGUGGCAGAAGGAUUGAAUGGAAACAGAGAAAGGAUAGAUUUGUGUGUAUGUGGCUUCAUCAGCAUCCAGGAGUUUCCUUUUUUAAGGUUAGUGUCACAUGACAAACAGCAGAGGGCGCUACCACAAGAGCUGCGCUUCACUUCAGGGUUUCUGGACAUUAAUUUUUAACCAGAAAUGGGGGGAUGAAUAUGAGUUUCACCUCCAGUUUUAGCAAAAUGAAUGAAGAACUAUGCAUCAUGGAUGUGGCACGAGAAUGAAUCUGUUUAUAUUUAUUUUUACUAAAUUUAAAGGAGUGUAGUUUGGGAUAUUAUGCAGGUUUUUUUUUUCCUCGUUUAAAGAUGUGUCGUGUGAUUUUGCAGAAUAUUUUCUUUUGUUUCAUUCAUGGUGACACUAUUUUUCUAUUUUUCUGUCCAGUUGGGAAGAGCUUUGUGAAAGAGCAGCUACCUCAGCUGUCCUCCAAAAUGUGCUGGAGACAUCUGACACUGCUGCUUUCUUCACAUCAACAGUCGGGGACCUUCCUUAAAUCAAGGCAGAAAACAUUUCUACAGCUCUGGAAUCAGAGACUCGAGUCACCCAGCUGGACAUCGGUCCAGAGAAGUUCUCAAGAGGGGACAUUAAAGUGUCAGAAACGCCCCUGAAAAGUCAAGACAGCACAUUUAGGCAAUGAGAGUGAGGUGGGGCAAGAGGAGAUUAAGAAGAUCCUGGUGGGAGGUGGCCACAGCUGGUGGACAUCCUGUUGGUGUCUUAACCUCAUAGAUACACCCUUACUAGACAUUCACUGUUGAAUGGCUCGAAUCCUCCUUCCAAAGUUCUUGACCUAAAUACCCAGAACUCAGCUCCUGCAGCUGAGGCUGACAAGGUGGUUUAUCGUAUUGUAGGGUUUAAAGCAAAGAAAUAAAUAAAAUCAAGCUUUUAAUUCAAUAAAAGCUGUUUUUUUCCAAACAACUUGUGUGUUUUCAUUGCCAGUUUUGAACUUCUGAAUUCAGCACACGAUCUACGUGGUCUGGAUCUAUAUAUCCUCCCUCCCGCCACAUCCCGGACCCUCCAAACGUCAAGCUCAUCCUUACACACACACGCGCGCUCACACACACAGUCGUAAUUGUUGGGGUUCACACUGGCCAGACUCCUCCGACAGCACCACCAAGCUGGACAGGUACAAAGAAGUGCGGCUUCAUGAAUUAAAGGUCGGAAGGCUUCACGAGGUUUGUAUGCUAAUUUAUAAAUUGUUAAAUAAUAAGUCCUACCAUAAUUUCUAGCUUCAUCUGUAGAUGAUAAAAUGUAUUUUCAAAGUCAUAUUUUCUUUACAUUUUAAUAAAACCCGAGAAAUAUCACUGCCAAUAUCAAAAGCAAUGACUUUAUCUUGAUUUUCUUAGCUCAGAACUGUUU
ensembl:lncRNA